AGUGAACGCUGGCGGCGUGCUUAACACAUGCAAGUCGAACGAGAACGGGCUAUAGCUUGCUAUAGUUGUCAGCUAAGUGGCGCACGGGUGAGUAAUGUAUAGGUAAUAUGCCUCUUACUAAGGGAUAACAAAUGGAAACGUUUGCUAAUACCUUGUACUCCUUAUUAACAGAAGUUAAUAAGGGAAAGAUUUAUUGGUAAGAGAUUAGCCUGUAUUGUAUCAGUUAGUUGGUGGGGUAAUGGCUUACCAAGACUAUGACACAUAACUGGUUUGAGAGGAUGAUCAGUCACUCUGGAACUGAGACACGGUCCAGACUCCUACGGGAGGCAGCAGUGGGGAAUAUUGCACAGUGGACGAAAGUUGGAUGCAGCAACGCCGCGUGGAGGAUGACACAUUUCGGUGCGUAAACUCCUUUUAUAUGAGAAGAUAAUGACGGUAUUAUAUGAAUAAGCACCGGCUAACUCCGUGCCAGCCGCCGCAGUAA
rnacentral:rRNA from 1 species